rnacentral:lncRNA from 1 species
AUCUAAUUACGUGUAUAAAUUUUAUGUUAAUUAUAUAUGUUUGUAAAAUAGAAAUAUGUAUUAUACAAAAUUUACUUAUGUGUAUAAAACUACUAUAAUGUUUUUAAAGAUAAUGAAUUUAAUAUUAUAUAUUAGAUAUGAACUAUAAUAGUUCAUUUCAGGGUUUUUUAUUUUGGUUAUAGAAUAGCUCAUUUCUGGUUUUUGUUAAAAGAUGUUUGUGGAAUUAGGGGCUGAUGAUGAAAAAGGUCAUGCUUUUGAUUUUGAAUUAUUUGUAUAAAAUUCCAUUUGCUUAUUCAUAAAUCUAUAUAUAUAUAUAUAUAUAUAUAUAUAUAUAUAUAAAUGUUUCUUCUCAUAGAUGGGUCGUAGGUAAUGUUAUUAAUAUAUAUCCAUUGAACAUAUAUAUUAAUAUAUAUGUUUAUUUCUUCCCUUAAUUUUAAAAAAUCCAAACUGUUUCUAAAAAUAAUGUUAUUAAUAUAUCUUAUAUAUAUGUAAAGAAGAGUAAAAUCAGGAGUUAUUGUUUCUUAACAAAUUUGUUUGUAUCGAUUCUGUUUAUAUUUUUUCAAAUAUAUGGUUAUUGUUGGAUUAAUUACAAUUACAAAUUUAAGACCAGGGCAUUCAGUUGUAAAUAUAUAGAAAAAGUUAGAGUUAUUUUUAAUGUGUACUUCAGUUUUAAUAAAUUAGAUAUUAGAUAUGAACUAUAAUAGUUCAUUUCUGGAUUUUUUAUUUUGGUUAUAGAAUAGCUCAUUUCUGGUUUUUGUUAAAAGAUGUUUGUGGAAUUAGGGGUUGAUGUUGAAAAAGGUCAUGCUUUUGAUUUUGAAUGAUUUGUAUAAAAUUCCAUUUGCUUAUUCA